rnacentral:tRNA from 1 species
UGACUUGGUACUUUAAAUAUAAAAGACUUGAUUUGCAUUCAGACAAUGAGUCACUUGACUUUCAGGUCAG